rnacentral:rRNA from 1 species
AAUGAACGCUGGCGGCAGGCCUGACACAUGCAAGUCGAACGGAUCCUUCGGGAAUAGUGGCGGACGGGUGAGUAACGCGUGGGAACAUACCCAAAGGUACGGAAUAGCCUCGGGAAACUGGGAGUAAUACCGUAUGUGCUCGAAAGAGGAAAGAUUUAUCGCCUUUGGAUUGGCCCGCGUUGGAUUAGUGAGUUGGUGGGGUAAUGGCCUACCAAGCCGACGAUCCAUAGCUGGUUUGAGAGGAUGAUCAGCCAGACUGGGACUGGGACACGGCCCGGACUCCUACGGGAGGCAGCAGUGGGGAAUCGUAGACAAUGGGGGAAAUCAUGAUCUAGCCAUGCCGGGUGAUAGAUGAAGGCCUUAGGGUUGUAAAGACCUUUCAGGUGGGGAGAGAAUGACUGUACCACCAGAAGAAGCCCCGGCUAACUCCGUGCCAGCCGCCGCUGUAA